rnacentral:rRNA from 1 species
ACAGAGGGUGCAAACGUUGUUCGGAAUUACUGGGCGUAAAGCGCAUGUAGGCGGCCAAGCAGGUCGGAUGUGAAAUCCCUCGGCUCAACCAAGGAAGUGCAUUCGAAACCGCAUGGCUGGAGUCCCGGAGAGGGUAGUGGAAUUCUCGGUGUAGAGGUGAAAUGCGUAGAUAUCGAGAGGAACACCUGCGGCGAAGGCGGGUUGCUGGGCUGACACUGACGCUGAUGUGCGAAAGCUAGGGGAGCGAACGGGA